rnacentral:piRNA from 1 species
AUUCUGUGAGUGCUUUAGAGAGG